rnacentral:siRNA from 1 species
CGAUAAUAACCUCUCACAACUU